AGAAGCUAAUAGAGUCAGAAACUUUGAAACUUUCCUUUGUAUAUUACAUUAAUCCAUAUAAGAAAAUCUCUUUUAAUGAGGAGUGAUGUAGUUACAAACUCUCCAGAGCCAUAAUUAGAGCAAACUAAUUGAAGUUGUGUUUUGACACACUUUCUAAAUUCACGGGUGCUGGAUGACAUAUUCACAACACUGUUGCUGCACAACCAUGGCGAUGGCAAAAUCAUUAGGCUAAUAACACUUAUUUGCAUUCUUAUCAUGCCAGCAGCUCUCCUUAAAUACUGUUUCAACCACUGCUCGUUUACUGUAAGUUUCCACUGAAAGAUAUUAACUGUAAUUAUUAGUCCUUUAGUGGAAUUUUUAAUGCUAAAGA
rnacentral:sRNA from 13 species